rnacentral:rRNA from 1 species
UACGUAGGUGGCAAGCGUUGUCCGGAUUUACUGGGCGUAAAGAGCGCGCAGGCGGUCGUUCAAGUCGCGUGUGAAAGCCCCCGGCUCAACUGGGGAGGGUCACGCGAUACUGAUCGACUGGAAGGCAGGAGAGGGUAGUGGAAUUCCCGGUGUAGUGGUGAAAUGCGUAGAUAUCGGGAGGAACACCAGUGGCGAAGGCGACUACCUGGCCUGUUCUUGACGCUGAGGUGCGAAAGCGUGGGGAGCAAACAGG